AGUUUUCAUGCACAUAGAUGAAUAGGCCUCUCCGGGUGUCUGCAUUAAUACGAAUCAGCACAGGAUGAAAAUGCAUUAUCAUGCUUCUACAGCCCAGAAACAUGAGAGAUGGCAAAGAAUGCUGAUGUGGAGCCUAAGGACAGAGGACCAGCUACAGAGAGGAGCUGCCUGGGAAGAGUGGACAAGUGUGAGACUCUGAUUGGUUGUCUGGUUUAUGUACAUAUGAGACAGUUGAUGAGAUAUUGGAAUGGGAAUGUCCCCCAUAGGUGUAGACGUUUGAACAUUUGAUCCCUAGUUGGUGGCACUGUUUGGGAAGGUUUGGGAGGUGUGGACUGUUGGAAGCAGUAAAAAAGUUUCAGAGUAAAAAUGCCUUGCCUACUUCCA